CUUCCUACGGGACGCAGCAGUAGGGAAUCUUCCACAAUGGGCGAAAGCCUGAUGCAGCGACGCCGCGUGAGUGAAGAAGUAUUUCGGUACGUAAAGCUCUAUCAGCAGGGAAGAAAAUGACGGUACCUGACUAAGAAGCCCCGGCUAACUACGGGCCAGCAGCCGCGGUAAUACGUAGGGGGCAAGCGUUAUCCGGAUUUACUGGGUGUAAAGGGAGCGUAGACGGCAGCGCAAGUCUGGAGUGAAAUCCCAUGGCUUAACCAUGGAACUGCUUUGGAAACUGUGCAGCUGGAGUGCAGGAGAGG
rnacentral:rRNA from 1 species